CAAUCAGUGAAAUGAAUCCACCCCAACCCAAGCAACAUUCCUUCGUAGAGACUUCUAUGAAUAUAGUAUUUAUUAUCGCAUAUCGUCUUGUGUAGAUGAAUUAGAUAUGCAAGGAAGAUAGCAGUUGAACAAUCGUCAGUAACGGAUGACCCCUAAAUUUACAUCCUUGUUUAUCAAUGUAAUACGAUGCAUAACAUGCGAAAGUGCAUACAUACCAUACUCUGUAUUGUUGUAAACAAAUACUAAACUGGUUCUGGGCUUUGUUGACGUAAGCUUCGAAAUUUUCUGUAAACUUUGAUUGCGUACAUCAUAUGACGCUCCGUGAGAAACUGAUAUAAAGAGAAGGCUGGUAGUACAGAAGGUCAUAACAAAGAGACAAUGACAGAGAAAACAUCUCUACUGUUUUGGCUGUUGGUGUAUAUCAUGUCUACCUUCAUACUGGGGACUGUGGAGGUGUGUCAUUACCUACUCUCCCCUAUCUUCCGCCGUCGUGAAUCAUAUGCUUCACUAGCUGAGUAUGAGGAAGUCAAUGCUACUUGAUCUUCAAGGAAACUUUCCAACACCCACGCUGUUGUCUCCACCUUCCAAGCUGCCAGGGCCCUAACACUGAUCUUCAUCUUAUUCAUCGGCCUCAUUAACAAUGGUUGUGAAUAACAUUUUAUGUUACAAUGUUGUAAUGGACAUUUGUUUGAAACAAAAGGAAUCAGUCACGAACUUUGUAUGUUAUCAUAUUUUGUUCAACAAAAUGCCAUUGUCAAACGUUUAUGUCCCUAAAAUAAACUUCAAAGUGUCUAGUACA